UGACAUUUCCAAUAUUCGGGUCUGGUU
rnacentral:piRNA from 1 species